rnacentral:rRNA from 1 species
GAUGAACGCUAGCGGCAGGCCUAACACAUGCAAGUCGAGGGGUAGAAGGAGCUUGCUCCUUUGAGACCGGCGCACGGGUGCGUAACGCGUAUGCAAUCUACCUUGUACAGGGGAAUAGCCCAGAGAAAUUUGGAUUAAUGCCCCAUAGUAUAUAACCUUCGCAUGUUGGUUAUAUUAAAGUUCCAACGGUACAAGAUGAGCAUGCGUCCCAUUAGUUAGUUGGUAAGGUAACGGCUUACCAAGACGAUGAUGGGUAGGGGUCCUGAGAGGGAGAUCCCCCACACUGGUACUGGGACCCGGACCAGACUCCUACGGGAGGCAGCAGUGAGGAAUAUUGGUCAAUGGUCGCAAGACUGAACCAGCCAUGCCGCGUGCAGGAAGACGGUCCUAUGGAUUGUAAACUGCUUUUAUACAGGAAGAAACCCUCCCACGUGUGGGAGCUUGACGGUACUGUAGGAAUAAGGAUCGGCUAACUCCGUG